rnacentral:rRNA from 1 species
UAAGACGAACCGUGCGAACGUUGUUCGGAAUCACUGGGCUUAAAGGGCGCGUAGGCGGCUUGCCAAGUCAGGGGUGAAAUCCUGCAGCUCAACUGUAGAAGUGCCUUUGAUACUGGCGAGCUCGAGGGAGGUAGGGGUGGGUGGAACUUCUGGUGGAGCGGUGAAAUGCGUUGAUAUCAGAAGGAACGCCGGUGGCGAAAGCGACCCACUGGAUCUCUACUGACGCUGAGGCGCGAAAGCUAGGGGAGCAAACGGGAUUAGAUACCCCGGUAGUCCUAGCCCUAAACGAUGAGCACUAGAUUGCAGACUGAUCAUGGGUUUGCAGUCGAAGCAAAAGUGUUAAGUGCUCCGCCUGGGGAGUAUGGUCGCAAGGCUG